rnacentral:rRNA from 1 species
CUAAGAGCUUACGGUGGAUGCCUUGGCAGCAAUAGGCGACGAAGGACGCGGCAAGCUGCGAUAAGCCUCGGGGAGCCGCAAGCAGGCUUUGAUCCGGGGAUUUCCGAAUGGGGAAACCCUCCCGGAGUAAUGUCCGGGAAUCCCGCCUUGGCGGGAAGCGACACUGGGAGAAGUGAAACAUCUCAGUAACCCAUGGAAGAGAAACCGAAAUGGUAUUCCCUGAGUAGUGGCGAACGAAACGGGAACAGCCUAAACCUCCUGUGGAGUAUAGCCUGCACGCGUUUUCACGGGGGGGGUUGAGGGAGUUGGUCGCCCUGUGGUGCAGACCAGAGGGCCUGUUACAAACCGAACCUGUAGCCGAAUCCCCUGGAAAGGGGAAUCAUAGAAGGUGAUAAUCCUGUAGGCGAAACGGGCGAGGCAGGCUGGACCAGCCACCCAAGUAACACGGGACACGUGAAAUUCCGUGUGAAUCCGGGCCGACCACGGCCUAAGGCUAAAUACUCAUUGCUGACCGAUAGUGAACCAGUACCGUGAGGGAAAGGUGAAAAGUACCCCGGUGAGGGGAGUGAAAUAGUACCUGAAACCGUGAGCUUACAAGCAGUCGGAGCACUAUAGUCCGGCGCGCAAGCGACGGACGAUGUGUGACGGCGUGCCUUUUGCUUAAUGAGCCGGCGAGUUGCUAUGCGCGGCAAGACUAACCCGUAAGGGGCAGUCGCAGCGAAAGCGAGUCCGAAUAGGGCGGCCAAAGUCGCGCGGAGCAGACCCGAAGCCGGGUGAUCUACCCAUGGCCAGGGCGAAACUUCGGUAACACGAAGGGGAGGCCCGAACCUUUGCACGUUGAAAAGUGUCUGGAUGAGCUGUGGGUCGGAGUGAAAAGCUAAUCGAACUCGGUGAUAGCUGGUUCUCCCCGAAAUAGCUUGAGGGCUAGCCUCGCAAAAUGGACAGCGGAGGUAGAGCACUGAAUGGUCUAGGGGUCUUACCGGACUACCAAACCCAAUCAAACUCCGAAUUCCGCUGCACCUUAUUGCGGGAGUCAGACAGCGGGGGAUAAGCUUCGUUGUCGAGAGGGAAACAGCCCAGAUCGUCAGCUAAGGCCCCAAAAUGCGGGUUAAGUGCGUAAGGAUGUGGAAUUGCUAAGACAGCUAGUAUGUUGGCUUAGAGGCAGCCAUCAUUUAAAGAGUGCGUAACAGCUCACUAGUCGAGUAAUUCCGCGCCGAUAAUGCUCGGGACUCAAGCCCGCUGCCGAAGCUACGGAUGUCGAUGUCCUGCAUCGACAAUCUCAACCACCCCACGGACGCGCUCCUGGAUGGAGCGGCGUCUCUUCCGGGGACAGGGAUUUGGGAUUUUCGAUGCAGGGCGUCGGCGUGGUAGGGGAGCGUUCCGCACGCGUCGAAGCCGUACCGCAAGGAGCGGUGGAGCGUGCAGAAGUGCUUAUGCCGGCAUGAGUAGCGAUAAUCCCGUUGAGAAAACGGGACGCCGAAAACCCAAGGUUUCCUGGGGAAGGUUAAUCCGCCCAGGGUUAGUCGAUACCUAAGUCGAGGCCGAAAGGCGUAGAUGAUGGAUGAGCCGUUAAUAUUCGGCUACUACCUUGACGGCGUUGUCGGGCGCAAGCCCGGCAGUGCUAUGGAGUCGCGCAGGAGGCUAGGUCAGCCCCCGAUCGGAAGUGGGGGUCCAAGCCUGUAGAGGGUCCCGGCAGGAAAAUCCACCGGGACAUCAACCUCAAGGGGUGACGGGACGCCGAUCCCACGGGAGAGGCGGAUUGAUCGAUGCCACGCUGCCAAGAAAAGGCUUCUAUGCAGUCGUCAGGGUAAUCGUACCGUAAACCGACACAGGUGGGAGGGGUGAAUAUCCUAAGGCGCUCGAGAGAACCCUCGUUAAGGAACUCGGCAAUCUAGCCCCGUAACUUCGGAAGAAGGGGUGCCCUUUCCCGUGAGAUCCUCGCGGAUGGAGCGGGAUGGGGCCGCAGUGAAAGGGUCCAGGCGACUGUUUACUAAAAACACAGGUCUCUGCUAAGUCGAAAGACGAUGUAUAGAGACUGACAAGUGACCAAUGCCGAAAGGUUAAGGUGAGGGGUCAGCUCGCGAUUAUAUCAAGGGCAAAGCUCUGAACCGAAGCCCCGGUGAAUGUCGGCCGUAACUAUAACGGUCCUAAGGUAGCGAAAUUCCUUGUCGGGUAAGUUCCGACCUGCACGAAUCUUGUAACGAUCUGGACGCUGUCUCGACGAGGGGCUCGGCGAAAUUGAGGUAGCGGUGAAGACUCCGCUUACCCGCGGAAAGACGGAAAGACCCCGUGAACCUUUACUGUAGCCUGAUAUUGGAUUUCGGUUCGAUCUGUGUAGGAUAGGUGGGAGGCUUUGAGGCUCCGGCGCCAGCCGGAGCGGAGCCGUCCUUGAAAUACCACUCUCUUCGCACUGGAAUUCUAACCCCGUGUCGUGAAACCGGCCGGGGAACAUUGUCAGGUGGGCAGUUUGACUGGGGCGGUUUCCUCCCAAAGUGUAACGGAGGGGCACAAAGGUUCCCUCAGCACGGUCGGCAAUCGUGCAUAGAGCGUAAAGGUAUAAGGGAGCUUGACUGCGAGUCCUACCAGACGAGCAGGUGCGAAAGCAGGUCUUAGUGAUCCGGCGGUUGAAUGUGGAAUUGCCGUCGCUCAUCGGACAAAAGGUACUCCGGGGAUAACAGGCUUAUCGCUCCCAAGAGUUCAUAUCGACGGAGCGGUUUGGCACCUCGAUGUCGGCUCAUCAUAUCCUGGGGCUGGAGAAGGUCCCAAGGGUUCGUCUGUUCGCCGAUUAAAAUGGUACGUGAGCUGGGUUUAGAACGUCGUGAGACAGUUCGGUCCCUAUCUUCCGUGGGCGCAGGAUAUUUGAGGAGGUCGGUCCCUAGUACGAGAGGACCGGGAUUGACGGACCUCUGGUGUUCCAGUUGUCGUGCCAACGGCAUUGCUGGGUAGCUAUGUCCGGAAAGGAUAAGCGCUGAAAGCAUCUAAGCGCCAAGCCCUCUCCAAGAUCAGAUAUCCCUAUGAGACCCCUCGUAGAUCACGAGGUUGAUAGGCCGGGGGUGUAAGGCCCGCAAGGGCUUCAGCCUACCGGUACUAAUCGGUCCAUCGUCUUAACC